rnacentral:snRNA from 1 species
GAAUGUGAGGGCGAUCUGGCUGCGACAUCUGUCACCCCAUUGAUCGCCAGGGUUGAUUAGGCUGAUCUGGGUGGCUAGACGGGUGUCCCCUUCCUCCCUCACCACUCCACGUGUGUCCCUCCCAAAGCUGUGCGCUUCGUCACUUGGUUGCUUGGGUUGCUUGUUCAAAGAGGAUGGCCUUCCUGAAUAGAGAUGUUUGGAGGGUAUACAAGUAGCUGCACUCCCCUGCUAGGACUGCCGAAUAGGCUCUCAUAAGUUAUGGGGGGGAGGGGCCC